rnacentral:lncRNA from 1 species
CUUAACCUAAAUAGAAUAAAAUGUUUGUCUUUUUCUCAAUAAUAAUAAUAAUAAUAAUAAUCUUCUUCUUCAACCAUUUUCAGUCCAUUGCUGGACAAAGAUCUUCCCAAAUUCUUCCAUCUUUCUCUGUCCAUAGCUUCUGUCAUCCAAUCUUUAUCAGUGAUUUCCACAUCUUUUCCUUAGUCUUCCUCUAAUCCUUCUGCCAUCUUACCAUGUCCAUUCCGUGAUGAAUUUGUUCAUCUGUUCUCCCAUAUCUGGAAAUAUGGCCACUCCAUUGCCUUUUAGAGUGUUUUAUAUAAAUUAUGUCUUUACAGCUGCUUUUGUUUGAACUGUCUUUAAAUGUCACUCCUUAUGCUUCUCUGGGUCAUCCUCAAUUUUUAUAUCAUUCAUUCAUUCAAAGUCCAGAUUUCAGAUCCAUAAGUCAAAAUAGUGAAUGCAUUGGUCCGAAGGCUUUUCUCUUCAAACCUAGAGAAGUGUCUUCCUUGAAAAUUUCUUUCAAUAUUCCAAAUGCUAUCCAUCCUAUUGUAUUCUUCUCUUAAUUUUUUUUUUCUUUCCAUCACUAAUCUUAAUGGUCUGUUCUAAAUAUACAUAAGAGUUCUCACUAUUUUGAUUUAUUUUACAUAAAUUAUAAAUUCUUUUAA